UACGUAGGGUGCAAGCGUUGUCCGGAAUUAUUGGGCGUAAAGAGCUCGUAGGCGGUCUGUCGCGUCGGCUGUGAAAACUCGGGGCUCAACCCCGAGCCUGCAGUCGAUACGGGCAGACUAGAGUGCGGUAGGGGAGACUGGAAUUCCUGGUGUAGCGGUGAAAUGCGCAGAUAUCAGGAAGAACACCGGUGGCGAAGGCGGGUCUCUGGGCCGAUACUGACGCUGAGGAGCGAAAGCGUGGGGAGCGAACAGG
rnacentral:rRNA from 1 species